GACAGAGGUUGCAAACGUUGUUCGGAAUUACUGGGCAUAAAGCGCACGUAGGCGGUCCGUUAAGUCAUGUGUGAAAUCCCCCGGCUCAACCGGGGAAUUGCGCCUGAUACUGGCGGGCUAGAGAUCGAUAGGGGUGAGUGGAACUCCAGGUGGAGCGGUAAAAUGCGUAGAUAUCUGGAGGAACACCGGUGGCGAAAGCGGCUCACUGGAUCGAUACUGACGCUGAGGUGCGAAAGCUAGGGUAGCAAACGGG
rnacentral:rRNA from 1 species